UACGAAGGGGGCUAGCGUUGCUCGGGAUCACUGGGCGUAAAGCGCACGUAGGCGGCUUCUUAAGUCAGGGGUGAAAUCCUGGAGCUCAACUCCAGAACUGCCUUUGAUACUGAGGAGCUUGAGUCCGGGAGAGGUGAGUGGAACUGCGAGUGUAGAGGUGAAAUUCGUAGAUAUUCGCAAGAACACCAGUGGCGAAGGCGGCUCACUGGCCCGGUACUGACGCUGAGGUGCGAAAGCGUGGGGAGCAAACAGG
rnacentral:rRNA from 1 species